rnacentral:lncRNA from 1 species
CAUCCUCUUUUCCCUCAUAUUCCUAUCUACAAGAAACCUCUCCCUCCUCCUGUGCCUGUCUAUGUAAAACCUCUUCCCCCUCCUGUGCCUAUCUAUAAGCCUCCUGUAUAUGUAAAACCUCUCCCUCCUCCAGUGCCUAUCUAUAAGCCACCUGUUUACGUGAAACCUCACCCUCCUCUUGUGCCUGUUUAUAAACCACCUGUAUACGUGAAACCUCACCCUCCUCCUGUGCCUGUCUAUAAACCACCUGUAUAUGUGAAACCUCACCCUCCUCCUGUGCCUGUCUAUAAGCCUCCUAUUAUUCCAGUUACUAAACCGCUUCCACCACCGGUUCCGUUCAAGAAACCAUGUCCACCAAAGAUUGAGCAUCCAAUUCUACCACCUGUUCCAAUAUAUAAACCUCCAAUAGUUCCAAAGCCACCGGUGGUUCCGAUCGUCAAGCCACUUCCUCCUCCAGUUCCAAUUUACAAACCACCAGUUGUCACUAAACCUUUUCCUCCAUUCAAGAAACCACCAUGUCCACCAAAGAUUGAGCAUCCAAUUCUACCACCUGUUCCAAUAUAUAAACCUCCAGUAGUUCCAAAACCACCGGUGGUUCCGAUCGUCAAGCCACUUCCUCCUCCAGUUCCAAUUUACAAAC